rnacentral:rRNA from 1 species
AGAGUUUGAUCCUGGCUCAGAGCGAACGCUGGCGGCAGGCUUAACACAUGCAAGUCGAGCGGACCUUUCGGGGUCAGCGGCGGACGGGUGAGUAACGCGUGGGAACGUGCCUUCUGGUUCGGAAUAACCCUGGGAAACUAGGGCUAAUACCGGGUACGCCCUUAUGGGGAAAGGUUUACUGCCGGAAGAUCGGCCCGCGUCUGAUUAGCUAGUUGGUGGGGUAACGGCCUACCAAGGCGACGAUCAGUAGCUGGUCUGAGAGGAUGAUCAGCCACACUGGGACUGAGACACGGCCCAGACUCCUAC